UCUUGGGCAAAAAAAUUUCUUAGUCACAAGUGGAAAAAGUUUAAGAAGACUUGAUCUUGACAAUCACUAAACUUUCGGCUCAAGGUUGUAGAUCCCACUUAUCACCCUCCUUCCUCCUCUAGUACUGGUAGAUUUAAAACAGUGCUGGUGCUGUGGGAAAGGAGAGAUGGAGGCACUCUCUUCUCACAUCUCUGAUAGUGCUCUUUCUGAUACUAAGUUGGCUAACAUGGUCCAACUUUUCCUUUUAUAAAAGGUUAAAUUGUAUUUCAGGUAAAUGGUCUAUAGAUACAUAUAUAUCAUUAGCAACAGAGACACAACUAAAGCCCAAUUGCUUUGCCUCUGAGGAUUUGCCUUUGAGAUUAUUUUGUCUCAAUAUUAAUCAUAUUAUAAUGUUCACUUCAUAAUGUGCCUUCCUUAAAAAAUACCAGAACUCCUCAUCUUGUUUGUUCUCUCCACCCUCUUUCUAAGAGUAGCAGGGCAGGAGUUACUGUCCUCAUUUCACAAUUAGAAUAACUGAGGCCCAGAGAUAAUUCCCCCUCCCCAAACAAUAUCAAGUCAUUUAGUGGAAAAGGCUUAGGACUAGAUCUUAGACUAUCCAACUUGAAGCUUUGCCCAUUGGUCCAUAACAACAUGGUAGUGGGGAUGAGAGGCAGGUGGAACUGAGCCUUAGGGCUUGCUAGGUACUUUCCAUUCUAGAAUGCCUCCUGCAUUGUUCCCAGCUGAAGCCAGGAUCUCCUGUACCAGCUAAGAGGAGAAAAAAGGAGAUGGUGAAAGGGAAAACCAGAACACCCCAAAGUCUGUAAGGAGAGAAAGUUCAGGUCUCUUGAGUAUUCUACUAAUGGAAGAGAGUAUAGCUAAGCCUUUUGGUAAGGGUAUCAAGGAAUAAAGAAACAAGGGCAUCUGCACGUCAGCUACAGCCUCACACCAUGCGUCACCUCCCCAGCUGACGCUGCUCAGAGACAGGGAUAUAUCCAAGCAGCCACUGCUCCUGAUGAAGAAACUGAGAUUCCAAGACAUUCAAAGGAUUUCCUCAUGGUCAACACAUCAAGUAAGUGUUAGAAUCAAGAUUUAAACCCAGAUGUCUCUUAACUUCCAGUUCAACAGUCUUUCCAUAUUGCUUGGGUAUCCCUGGAUUUUAACCACUCCCCCUUUCUUCUACCACAUUCCUAAUUAUGAUUUGUCUGACCAUGUCUUACGUUGUGAAGGAAUGUACCGACACACAAAUAUAUUUCCUUCCCUCUAUGACACACCUGCCUCCAUGGCCAACUAGCAAGGAUGCCUCUUAGAUCUGUCAAGUUCAAUUGAGCUCAAGACACUAUUGAGAGUAUAUCACUCUCAAAGAAGUAGAUAGUCUCAUAUCUGCCCUGGAGUUUGGUCCCAAAACAUUUCUCUGGCAGUUUUAUGUGUCAUUGUACCCUUCUAUAUAACAAUGAUGCUGGCAGACAUGAUUAACACAGUCUUUCCCUUGGUACAUCAGGUCCUUACUUUAUGUAGUCAAUGCAUUAGGGAUGAUACAAUUUGAUUUGUAGUAUAUUUAAACCUGUAUAGGAGUAAGGCAGUGAUAUAAGGGGGUUCUUAGUCUGUAUGAAAUACUAGUUUUGCUCCCAAAUCUGAAAAAUAUCACCAUUAGCUGGCAAAUCCUAGCACUAGCCAAAAAAGGGAGAAGGAUUGCAUGCUGUUAAGUGUUAGAAGAACAAACCCCAAAUUGGCAUUUUUUCCACACUUAGGAUGUGGGAGGAGGGAAAAGGUAUGAUAGCAGAAUGGGUGAAUAAAUAUUCAAGUACUUGUCAUUUGUUCUUGCAAGAUUUAAAGAUUAGCUAUGUGUUUUCCAAAUAAAAGUAGAGAUUACCCAGGGGAUAUUGACAGUAGACAAAGUUUGCAGUUUAGCCAUGAUACUUUUGUGUGAAUACAAAUAUAGAAGGAGAGGAAUAGCUAUAUAUUGACUUUUACCUUAAUCCAUCCUAAUUUGGGGAGGAAAGAGGUGCAAGAUUUCUCCCUUCUCUAACUUACCAUUAUUUAACAUGAAUUAAAAAGUUUAUCAUGUAUUGAAUUGAUUGUAGCUGCAUCUAGUUCUCAAAACUGAUUUGAUUUUAAUUUAUUGUGUCCAGUAAAUUUCCCAGGUUAGACAAAAAUAAUCUAUCCUUUUAUACUUCCCAUUUUCUCCUGCCCCUAGGCUGGCCCAUUCUCCCUACUUUAACGGCUGAGCUGAGCUGUGUGAAGAGGGUUUAGGCCUAGAACACUGUCCCUUGGACCUAUGAGAAUCAAUUGAAACAGGGGUUCUUCUGAGCUCCAUUGGAACCAGGCCAAUUUUCUGGGUGUGAUCCAGGCUCACACAGUUCAAAGCGAAAGUCAUAAUGAGACACGGCUGGAUGUUUCUCUGCAGUUUAUCUGAAGCAAGUUUAUCUUGUCUUUGCUGACCUUUGCAUCAAGCCUUCUGGAUUAAUUUGUUAGUGGGCACCACACUCCUGCUGAAGUUCAGAGGACAGCAGAAGAGAUAAACCCCGCUUUUUGCCUGCCCCUCCUGGGCCCUUCCCUUAUCUGGGGCCUGGAGCCUCUCCAGCUUUUGUUCUUCAGAUUUCUAAGAGGAAAGGAAGAACAUACAGCUUUUUCUGUUAAUUUGGCACAGUCCACAGGUGAUAGGAAGCCCCAUGGACUAAGCAUCCCUGGUGUUCAGAAUAGUACUUGAAAAGUAGUGAGAGGCAACAGAACACAAUGGAUGGAGAAUCGGCCUUGAAUCAGGAAGACCAACAAUCUAGCUCCACUUCUGACUAUCUACAAGCCUAAGUCAUCUUAGCAUUCAAAGCCCAGAACUAUCUCAAUCAUACAUUCUUAAACAUAUUUUUGUGCUGUGGAUUCUUUUGGUUAUCUAGGGAAACAGAAAGACCCUUCCUCAAAAUAAUGCAUUUAAAUGCUUAAAAGACAUAGGAUUAUAAGGGAAGUCAAUUAUGAUAAAAGAGAUUGAGACAGAAACUUUUUUUUUAAGAUUCACAGAUACCCAAAUUAAGAACUGCCAUUUAAGUUGUAGAAAAGGUGCCAAUCUUGCCUCUUUGGCAUAGAAAUCAACAGAGGCGACAUCUCACUAGGGCCUCUCUAUAGCCACAAAUCAAGGUUCAGUCAAACACGUGGAUACAUACAUGGAAAGCAAACAGCCUUGUCCCAGUCUGAUGAGGAAGCUCACUGUUCUGUAGGAAGAACCCAGUCCUUGCCUCACUUCCAGUUUAGUAAUUCAUUGGAAAGAACAUUGGAUUUUUAGUCGAGAUUUGGAUUCAAAAUCUCUCUUAUACUACCUGUUGUCAUGUUAAAUAGUUACUUCAGCACUCUGAGUUUAAAAUUUCUCAUCUAUAAAUUGGGAAUAAUCCCUGAAGUACUUUCAUUAUGGGCUCAAAUGAUAUAAUGGACAAAUCUAAGGUAUUCUGAAAACUUCAGCGGUUAAUUAAAACAAAUCAGUCCUGGCCCUUAAGGAGUUUCCAAUAUAAUAGGGGAGAAUGCCAUCAGAAAUACAUGAGAUUCAUUUUUUUAUAUUAUACACAAACUCAUGACUAAGCGGUCAACAUGACAAGCUCUCAACUUUAGAGCAUCCCUCUCUUUCUUCAUCAUCAGCCUUCCUGUCAAAACCAGCCCUUGCCUCACAUGCUACCCAUAGGAUUUCUUCUCAGUUCUCCUUUUAAUGGAUUAGAUUUAGAGUAUUUAUGAUAUACAUAUAAGAUAGGUAUACCCUUAUUAAUAUAGUGGGGGGAGGAAGUAUACUGGUUAAGGUUUAAACCUAGUUUUGUCCUCCAGAAGGUCACAAUUUAAGGGCUAUAAUACAGUCAACUCAAUUUUUCAUACUGAUGGAGGGGAACAGUGGCAGAAUCCAGAAAUUAUUUUUUAUUUGGCAUGAGAAUGCAUUGUUUAAUUAAUUAUGGUUUUGGCAGUAGAUUUGCCUUCCUAAUUAUGUUUUGCAUGGACUGAUACUCAAAUUAGUUUGCAGUUCCUGAGCACACAUUGGGUAGUGAAUGAGAUGUCGCCCAGAAACAUGCCAGAGAGUCAAAGAGAAUCUAGCCUGAGAUUAAACCUUGGCUACAAAUAGUCUACAAAGUGAAUAAUUUGAGAACUGAUAGUGAUGUUGACUUUGCUAUUGGGGAAAUGUGAAGCCAGCCAAAAAGUAGAAGAAUUGAAGUUCCUCUUUGACCCCUAAGACACUUAGAUUCUUAGGACUAACUCCUCCUUGAAGGUCUCAUAAGCAUUCCAUCUGUUCCUAGGACCAGAGGGUCAAAAACUACAGUGCAUAUACCUCAGAAUGGCAAUGCCCUCAGAGAGAUUAACACACACAGUUUUACAGUUGAGCUUUAGGCUUUUGCUUAUGGUACACUUACUCUGAUACACAUGGCAUUGCUUAAGGAAGAGAUGGAAAUAUUCUCAAUGCCAGCUGUUUCCAGUUCUAUUAGUAGGAUGCCUUCCUCGAUUUAACAGUACAACAGCUCUGUCCUUCCAGGCUCCUUUAUACUGCUGCCCUGCUCCACCCUCCAUUCCCUGAUGACUUGCCCAACCCAGUACCAAGCAGAGCCACAUUGCAGAUAGUUGCCACAUCAUUUCUUCUAAAACCCUAGAGUGAGAAGAGACCUUGAGAUGACCAUCUGGACUGGCCCUCCUGAGUUGGACAAUUUAAUGUGAAACAGAUGUAUGGCCUCCUCUCAGGUCUUCAGAGGCAAGGGCUCCACUCUACACCACUCUCUUUGAUCAUCCACUUGAAUGUUUUGCCUCUUGAUACGCAAGAAGUCCAUUUUUAUGCCCAACAUAAAACCUUUCUAUUUUAAUGUAAGCCGACAUCUGCUUGAUUUGUUCUUGGUAAACAUGGAGCAUGAUUGAUCGUCAUCAACUCCAGUCAAACUUGCCAUAGAUUUCCAAACCAUCAGUUCUUUCUGAAAACCCAGUGAGCCAAUAGGGUUUUCAUACCUUUAUCAAAAUGAGGUUGAUGAACUAGACUGAUCAAUCAACAAGUAUUUAUUAUAUGUCUGCAAUGUGUCACUAUGUGUAUGACUAUUAAAAAAAAAAAGUAAAGAAAUCCCUACUAGCAAGGAAUUUAAGAUGGUUUCGGAAAAUGAGACAGAGAUGAGCCUUGAGACCUUUAUCAAUUGGGUCAGGAUCACACAGGGAGUGAGUUGGGGAACCAGAUCAGGAACUGGGAUGGGGAGAGGGGCACCUGACCACCUAAACAGGUUCAUUGAUGAGGGCAGGAGAGAGGCAGAAGAAAUAGCCAACUGACUUUGUAGUUAUAGUCAGGCAGUUAAUUUAGUCUAGUAGUAUUGAUAAAAGACACCCCAGGUUCCCCUUCAAAAAGAGGAGGGAAAGGUCCACAUUUUAUAAUAUUAUGAUAA